CGCAAAAAGUAUGUGGAAAUCAGAUGCUCGCUGAAAACAUCUCGAAACAAGUGGAGCACUUAAGUAAAAAAGACGUUGAGUGCCUUAUCUGAGACUUUAACAUGCUUAUGGCGGAGUGUAACAACUCUGGAAGAGCAGUGCACGGUCUGGACAGAGGGACCUUCCUAAGCAUACUACACAGGAUCUUUGGGCUGACUGAUGACAGGAUCACGGGUAGAGUACCACUUACUUUUGCACCCUACUGUUGCCUUCUCAGCUGUCUUGAGAUAUGUUGGUGCCAUCAAAUUCAAACUAUUAGGAGACCCUCCACAUGACAGAAGAUCGCAUCCAGAACAUGGACCUAGCAGACCGUGAGCUGUAUGAGCGUCAGGAGGCAGCCUUUGGCCAGCUGGAGGAGGAGCUCCGUUGGAAGCCCUGGCGUGCUCCUGACUAUGAUCGUAUCGUCUAUGGUACUCGUGUACUUAAGCCCUGUGUUUUUCUUUGGUCUUUGGUCCUCCACAUGACACAAACAGAGCUAAUAUUGUUUUUGAAAUAGUAAAAUGUCAAUAAAAUGGUGGCAAGUAAACUAAAUCUCCAAAUUAUCAACAACAAUUCAACAAUUUCUUCAGUACGAACAAUUAAAAUCUAAA